CACCCUAGAAUGAGCAUACAUGUCAUAUGGAUUAAACCAAUACGACCCCCCACCACCACCCUAGAAUGAGCAUACAUGUCAUAUGGGAGGAGCUGUUUGAUACAUGUCAUAUGGGAGGAGCUGUUUGAUACAUGUCAUAUGGGAGGAGCUGUUUGAUACAUGUCAUAUGGGAGGAGCUGUUUGAUACAUGUCAUAUGGGAGGAGCUGUUUGAUACAUGUCAUAUGGGAGGAGCUGUUUGAUACAUGUCAUAUGGGAGGAGCUGUUUGAUACAUGUCAUAUGGGAGGAGCUGUUUGAGUCAUGUCAUAUGGGAGGAGCUGUUUGAUACAUGUCAUAUGGGAGGAGCUGUUUGAUACAUGUCAUAUGGGAGGAGCUGUUUGAUACAUGUCAUAUGGGAGGAGCUGUUUGAUACAUGUCAUAUGGGAGGAGCUGUUUGAGUCAUGUCAUGGGAGGAGCUGUUUGAGUCAUGUCAUAUGGGAGGAGCUGUUUGAGUCAUGUCAUAUGGGAGGAGCUGUUUGAUACAUGUCAUAUGGGAGGAGCUGUUUGAUACAUGUCAUAUGGGAGGAGCUGUUUGAUACAUGUCAUAUGGGAGGAGCUAUGGAUAACUGACUGGCGUGAACUCUAACCUUUACUAUCACGGCCAGCUGUGUUUUUAACAGUGUCGAUCAAAGUAUUGGACCAUGAUGCACCAGUGAACUUGUUCACGCAUAACUCUGUACCACGGUUUCAGUUAAACGGAUAUGAAACAAGGCACGCAUACUUUAAAUUGUUUAUCAUGUCAGUUUUUUUAGUUUUUUAAAAUAUAUUUUGUAGUCAUUUUACUCGACAAUAUAAUAUGGUCUUGUUAGUAACAAAUGUAAAUACGUGUUAAUCAAUAAUGAAGUUUGAUGUAGUAGUGGUUAUAAAGUUGGUCGUAUUGUGCUAAGGUGUACAUAUUGUACAUACCACAUUUUGAAGUGUUUUCUGAACCACAAAUUGUAACGUGAUAUUUUGCACUAUGGUAACAGAAGUAACAGAAAAGGUUAUCUGCAGUACUGCAAAAACAAAAUAAACAAAAAAAUCUGAA